AGUGGCGGACGGGUGAGUAACACGUGGGAACGUGCCUUUAGGUUCGGAAUAGCUCCUGGAAACGGGUGGUAAUGCCGAAUGUGCCCUUCGGGGGAAAGAUUUAUCGCCUUUAGAGCGGCCCGCGUCUGAUUAGCUAGUUGGUGAGGUAAUGGCUCACCAAGGCGACGAUCAGUAGCUGGUCUGAGAGGACGAUCAGCCACACUGGAACUGAGACACGGUCCAGACUCC
rnacentral:rRNA from 1 species